UUAGGUUCAGCUUCUCAGCUCCUUCAUAGAGGCUGGUUCACAACCCAAGAUUCUUUUCAUUCUAUUGUAGCUCUCAAGCACUAAACAUUUUUGCUGUCUGUCACCGGAUGACUAGUUAUUUUCAUUUCCUUGUCAUUUAAAAUCCAGACCAAAAAUCAAGAAAAUGCAUUGUUUUAGAUUUGGGGAUUUAUAGGGAUUGGUUUUUUUGAAUAGAUAUUACCUCGUGGGGGUCAUAAGUGAGAGUCAUAAGAUGUAGCUGAUGUUCAUUGCAUGGAAGAAGCAAGCAAAAUUCAAAAUUUAUGCACCCAUGUACUUGCUACCUUAGAAGGCCUUUAGUGGCACUGAGAACUCUCAAACUUUGUUUGUUCAGCUUAAAUUGCAAAUAACCCGUAACAUUGGUUGAGUUCAUCGUGUUGCAUAUAUUGCUGUGUAUUAUCUUCCAAAUGAUAAAAUGCUAAGUUGGCUUUAUGCUAGUUAUACUUGUAUGUUUAAUGGGUGCCUGAAGCUUUUUGCAAAGUUUUUAGUGACUAAAGUUUGACUCUGUUAAUAUACUCUUAUACUGAUAAAAAAAAUAUAUCUGAGCCUCGUACCAGAGGUAUCAGCAUAAUCAGGAUCCGAGCCUCCUACAAAAAAUAUACUCAAUCUCAAACUUGAGCUGCCUCUGCAGGAUCUGAACUCAACCCAAUUCCAAAAGGGUGCAGACGAGGUAGUAUCAUUCAGUUGGCUCUUCUUGUCCUUGGG
rnacentral:lncRNA from 1 species